rnacentral:sRNA from 1 species
GUCUUCGAUCUGCUGCGGGCAGAUGAAAUGGAUAUGGCUGUCAAAGCCCCCGGCGGUAAGGAUGCGCCCCUCGCCCGCGAUCACCUCGGUGCCCGGCCCGAUGAUGAUAUUGACCCCCGGCUGCGUGUCGGGGUUGCCUGCCUUGCCGAUCUUGGCGAUGCGCCCGUCUUUCAGCCCGACAUCGGCCUUGUAGAUGCCGGUAUGGUCAACGAUCAGCGCAUUGGUGAUGACCGUGUCCACGGCGCCGCCCGCGCGGGUGACCUGCGACUGGCCCAUGCCGUCGCGGAU